CAGGAAUCGGGGAGAGAGAGGAGGUGGGGGAUGAGAGAAAAUGGAGUUGAAAAUGAUCCUUGUUUACUCAAGUUCCUUUAAUCGUUGCUUUAUACAGAAGAAAUAAUUUUGGUAGUGUACAGAGAAACAAAAUGGUAUUUAGAGUGUUUCUUUUAUGGGAGAAGAAGAGGAUCUCUGAUGAUAAGUGGAGAUUAAAAAAAAAAAACUUUUUGAAUAUAAACUUCAAGAAAAGAAAAAUCUCCUUGUUGGUUCUGUGUUUUUCUUUUUUGUUGUUCUUUUUUAACCCCAG
rnacentral:misc_RNA from 1 species